AGUGAACGCUGGCGGUAGGCCUAACACAUGCAAGUCGAACGGCAGCACAGUAAGAGCUUGCUCUUACGGGUGGCGAGUGGCGGACGGGUGAGGAAUACAUCGGAAUCUACUUUUUCGUGGGGGAUAACGUAGGGAAACUUACGCUAAUACCGCAUACGACCUACGGGUGAAAGCAGGGGAUCUUCGGACCUUGCGCGAUUGAAUGAGCCGAUAUCGGAUUAGCUAGUUGGCGGGGUAAAGGCCCACCAAGGCGACGAUCCGUAGCUGGUCUGAGAGGAUGAUCAGCCACACUGGAACUGAGACACGGUCCAGACUCCUACGGGAGGCAGCAGUGGGGAAUAUUGGACAAUGGGCGCAAGCCUGAUCCAGCCAUACCGCGUGGGUGAAGAAGGCCUUCGGGUUGUAAAGCCCUUUUGCUGGGAAAGAAAAGCAGCAGGUUAAUACCCCGCUGUUCUGACGGUACCCAAAGAAUAAGCACCGGCUAACUUCGUG
rnacentral:rRNA from 1 species